CCUUUGAUUUUCUAUUCUUCUCUCGGUCUUUGCCUUUGUGUUUGUUACCCUUACCAUCACUUCCCUUGUGUUUACUCUUCUCUUUCCCCUCCAUCUGCUUCUCAGCAUCCUUCUUCUCCACCAACUUGACAACUCCUUCAACUCUUUCUUGGGCCAUGCCAACGAAAUUUUGAUGAAAUGCCCUUCCCAAACCUCUUGUAUCAAAAUGAUUUCUCUGCCCAUUGAUUUUCCUAUGAUCUUCAUUCUUAUUCUUAAACUUUUCUUUUUCCUCAGAUUGAUUGCCAAUAUUUCUUUCCACCACCAUUCCCUGUAUCUCACCUCUUCUUUGAUCUGUGGCAACAACCUUCUCAAACAUUUGGCUCCCUGAUGCUCUAUCUUCAUCCUUAAUUCUUCUGGCCAAUUCCUGCACGCAUAAAGAAUCCUUGAUCUCAUUAUUCUGCAGGCUCUCUGAACCAAACUUUUGUCCAUCAUAAAAGCCUGGUUGCCAUUCAACUUUCUUCUCAUCUGAAGUCCGGUUUUUUUCUUUAUCUCUAUCCUUGUCUUUGUGCUUCUCUUUUCGGUCUUUCUUUUCUCUAUUUUUCUCUUUACUUCUAUCUUUAUCCCUUUUCUCUUUACCCUCCCUCUUUUCUUUCUCCUCCUUAUCCUUUUUGUGCUUUUUCUCCUUAUUCUUCUCCUUUUUAAGUAAUUCUGUAUCAUCAAUUCUAGCCUUCUUUUCAUAUCCUGGAGGCGGAAAUGGAAAGCAGCGAGACAUUGCAGGUGGUCCUUGAAAUGGCAAAGUGGGAUCUAUCCACAGAACAAAGGGCUUCUUCUAGAAUCCUGUACUGUUGUUCCAACACGGGAACAGACCAGAAUCUAUGCUCUCGUCCAUGCACCAUGUCCUUGCAGUCAUUUCCAGCCUAAAAAAUCAAUCCAUUGUCUUCCAAAAUACCUCCCAGACCAAAAUUUUUAAUUAUCCUCUUAUUCACAAAUACACUUCAGGAGUUGCCCAGUGUAAACUAAACACUUGACUUAAAAAAAUACAAAUAAAGCUUAUAUGCUCGAUUCCACUGCGAUAAACAAUGAACUAGCUCCAAAAAUGACCAGAUAAGCGGAAAUCAAUCUAUGUCAAUAUGAAAGAAUUCUUCUGAAAAAUGCUGAAGCUUCAGAGCUAUCUGAUCCUGGCGUUUGCCACUGGGCCAACAGACAAAUCAGAACCUUGUGUAUACUUCAGCUUUGCUAUGCGGCUAAACAGAGGAAUUCACUUUCACAGAUUCAAUGUGCAGAUCCAAGUGCAUAUUAACUAAAAACUAACUAUACAAUCCAAUUCUGUACAUACAACAUCAAUCUCUGAUCAUCAUAACCCUAAUAGUCCAAAAAUUUGCGAUUAGGGUUGCCAUAGUGACGAUCCGAUGAAAAUCCUG
rnacentral:misc_RNA from 1 species